rnacentral:rRNA from 1 species
CCUACGGGAGGCAGCAGUAGGGAAUCUUUCACAAUGGGCGAAAGCCUGAUGGAGCAACGCCGCGUGCAGGAUGAAGGCCUUCGGGUUGUAAACUGCUUUUAUAAGCGAGAAAUAUGAUGGUAACUUAUGAAUAAGGAUCGGCUAACUACGUGCCAGCAGCCGCGGUAAUACGGAGGUCCGGGCGUUAUCCGGAUUUAUUGGGUUUAAAGGGAGCGUAGGCCGGUCUUUAAGCGUGCCGUGAAAUUUUGUGGCUCAACCAUGAGAGUGCGGCGCGAACUGGAGACCUUGAGUGCGCGGAAGGCAGGCGGAAUUCGUGGUGUAGCGGUGAAAUGCUUAGAUAUCACGAAGAACCCCGAUUGCGAAGGCAGCCUGCCGCAGCGUUACUGACGCUGAAGCUCGAAAGCGCGGGUAUCGAACAGGAUUAGAUACCCUGGUAGUC